UUUGGUAUAUUAAUAGUUUAUUGGAGCAUCUCUUGAAAAUAAUGAACAAAAACGGAGAUAGAAGCCACAUUAAAGAUCCGUAGAGGUCACUUGAACUCAGGACAGCAGAUGUUUGUGUCAUCACAAACUAUUCAUCACAAUUUCUAGUGAUUACUGUUUUACAACAAAUCUUAUGUUAACAUUAAAAUAAGUAAAUAAGCUGAAAUACAAACUGACGUCAAAUUCUCUGAAGUACGGAAGCCCAGAGCGACCAAGACAUUGAGUAAGGCUAACAGUUCCUGGGUUCCACAGCUCCUCCAAAGUGUCUUACUGUUUCUUUAAGACAAAGUCUAUACAGAGAGCCUAGAAAUGAUGAAUAUAUUCACAAUUUUUGUGCCAUCUCUUUAAAAUGUAACUUUAAAAUAAACACCUGAGCCAUAUACAGACAGAGUGACAACAACACUUGGACCCAAGCUUUAUAUAAAGCGUUAUUAUGGUUAAACCAAAGCCAUAUGAAGGUGGGGUUGUUCGAGUUAGUCCAGUUAAACCAGUUAUUCUAGCGCCAUGUACAGGUGGAGUUGUUCCAGGUAGUCCAGAGACAUGUACAGGUGGAGUUGCUCCAGUUAGUCCAGAGACAUGUACAGGUGGAGUUGCUCCAGUUAGUCCAGAUUGUACAUGUGGAGUUGUUCCAGUUUGUCCAGAGACAUGUACAUGUGGAGCUGUUCCAGGUAGUCCAGAGACAUGUACAGGUGGAGUUGUUCCAGUUAGUCCAGAUUGUACAUGUGGAGUUGUUCCAGUUAGUCCAGAGACAUGUACAUGUGGAGCUGUUCCAGGUAGUCCAGAGACAUGUACAGGUGGAGUUGUUCCAGUUAGUCCAGAUUGUGCAUGUGGAGUUGUUCCAGGUAGUCCAGAGACAUGUACAGGUGGAGGUGUUCCAGUUAGUCCAGAGACACGUACAGGUGGAGCUGUUCCAGGUAGUCCAGAGAGAUGUACAGGUGGAGUUGUUCCAGGUAGUCCAGAAAAACAUACAGGUGGAGUUGUUCCAGGUAGUCCAGAGACAUGUACAGGUGGAGUUGCUCCAGUUAGUCCAGAUUGUACAUGUGGAGUUGUUCCAGUUUGUCCAGAGACAUGUACAUGUGGAGCUGUUCCAGGUAGUCCAGAGACAUGUACAUGUGGAGUUGUUCCAGUUAGUCCAGAUUGUACAUGUGGAGUUGUUCCAGGUAGUCCAGAGACAUGUACAGGUGGAGUUGUUCCAGUUAGUCCAGAGACACGUACAGGUGGAGUUGUUCCAGUUAGUCCAGAUUGUACAUGUGGAGUUGUUCCAGGUAGUCCAGAGACAUGUACAGGUGGAGGUGUACCAGUUAGUCCAGAGACACGUACAGGUGGAUGUCGGCGUGCACUUUGUCGGAGGUUUCAGGAUACAGUAACACGAAAUAACAGAGAUGAUGCCAGACUAACUUCAAAAAGGAAACAUGCAUUGUUAAGGUAAACCUAGCAUCAGGGGUUGAAAUAGUUUGGAGGUCAGGUCCAACUCUGCGAGGUGAGAGUUGAUUGACAGGUUUGAGAUUGGUUGAUUAGAGAACCAAUCAGAGAGGAGCAGCCGGUUGUUCAGGAGUUGCCGGAGUUCCGGAAUUCACCAUUCUCUGUGAUCUGCAGAGACGAGGCGUUGCUUGGAGACAGGCCGUUCCUCUGUGAUGUCACUGCGUACCGCUCCUUCAGUUGAGUCACAGCAGCCAUCAGACGACUGUUAGCUGCAUCCAGACUGGAUAUCCUCUUCUCCU
ensembl:lncRNA